CCUACGGGAGGCAGCAGUGAGGAAUAUUGGUCAAUGGUCGGGAGACUGAACCAGCCAAGCCGCGUGAGGGAUGAAGGUACAGAGUAUCGUAAACCUCUUUUGUCAGGGAACAAAGGCGGGGACGUGUCCCCGGAUGAGUGUACCUGAAGAAAAAGCAGCGGCUAACUCCGUUCCAGCAGCCGCGGUAAUACGGAGGAUGCGAGCGUUAUCCGGUGUUAUGGGGUUUAAAGGGUGCGCAGGCGGUCUGUUAUGUCAGCGGUAAAAGCCCGGGGCUCAAACCCGGCCCGCCGUUGAAACUGGCAGUCUCGAGUUGGAGAGAAGUAUGCGGAAUGCGCGGGGUAGCGGGGAAAUGCAUAGAUAUCGCGCAGAACUCCGAUUGCGAAGGCAGCAUGCCGGCUCCACACUGACGCUGAGGCACGAAAGCGUGGGUAUCGAACAGGAUUAGAUACCCCAGUAGUC
rnacentral:rRNA from 1 species